UAGCGCCACAUUAUGGAAAAAUAAUAAACCUUGUAUAAUAAUUAUGAUUCUCCGGCCAAAGAAUACUAGUUACUAGCUAGAGAAAGACUUCAGACGAAUUUGAGUCACGUGUUGAUAAAAGUCCUUUAGUUUUAUUACUCAUAAUUACUUGAGACUUUAUGAAAGUGAUUUUAUUAAGUGAUUAUUAAAUAAAAAGUAUUCUUCACUCAAAUUGAUUCUUCCAAAGAUGAGUUGAACAGCCCAAGAAGUUAGGCAACAAGAAAAUUGCUUUUUUCUUUCUUCGGAAAGAGUUUCUAGAUGAAUAUGGAGUUUGGACUGCCUCUCCUCAUUUCGAUGCUAAUAGUAAUAUCAAAUAAGUUCAAUCCUCAGAAUCUGUUUCUUUAGCGAGCAAAGACUGAAUUCACCAAGAUAACAAAGAGCUAUCAUCCUUUUGGAUUAGGAUCUUUCAAGAAAUACUAAUAUAGUCCAUUCAUGAAUUACUCAUUCUCAUGAAGUUGAGAAAAGGAACCAACAUUUCUUCUUAUGAAAGUCAAGAUUAUUUUUAUUGAGUAAUGAUUACUCUUUUGCUUCUUUAAAUAAAGACAACAACUGCCAACAUCUAUAAAUAAUUUAUCUUCAUACAAUUUAUAUAAAUAUCAAUACUUGUAUGUUUAUCGAAGCCCUCAGAUCUCUGAUGCAAGGGAAAUAAAUAACUAUGUUUUAAUAUUUUUUUGUAAAAUGUUUUAGCAUUUUUGAAUUAGAUACUCAAGACUGAUAUUUAUCACUUUGACUUUAAAUAAAUACAUGAUCAUAUCCAUAUGGUCCUUUUAAAUAUAUUUUUGUAUUCUGAAAUACAUUUCGAUUUAUUUA
rnacentral:lncRNA from 1 species